GAUGAAGAACGCAGCGAAAUGCGAUACGUAAUGUGAAUUGCAGAAUUCAGUGAAUCAUCGAGUCUUUGAACGCACAUUGCGCCCCCUGGCAUUCCGGGGGGCAUGCCUGUCCGAGCGUCAUUGCUGCCCUCAAGCACGGCUUGUGUGUUGGGCCUCCGUCCUCCUCCCGGGGGACGGGCCCGAAAGGCAGCGGCGGCACCGCGUCCGGUCCUCGAGCGUAUGGGGCUUCGUCACCCGCUCUUGUAGGCCCGGCCGGCGCUUGCCGACACAUCAAUCUUUUUUCCAGGUUGACCUCGGAUCAGGUAGGGAUACCCGCUGAACUUAAGCAUAUCAAUAAGCGGAGGA
rnacentral:misc_RNA from 1 species